GAUGAACGCUGGCGGCGUGCCUAAUACAUGCAAGUCGAGCGAAUGGAUUAAGAGCUUGCUCUUAUGAAGUUAGCGGCGGACGGGUGAGUAACACGUGGGUACCUGCCCAUCAGACUGGGAUAACUCCGGGAAACCGGGGCUAAUACCGGAUAACAUUUUGAACCGCAUGGAUCGAAAUUGAAAGGCGGCUUCGGCUGUCAAUUAUGGAUGGACCCGCGUCGCAUUAGCUAGCUGGUUAGGUAACGGGUCACCAAGGCAACGAUGCGUAACCGACCUGAGAGGGUGAUCGGCCACACUGGGACGGAGACAUGGCCCAGACUCCUACGGGAGGUAGCAGUAGGGAAUCUUCCGCAAUGGACGAAAGUCUGACGGAGCAACGCCGCGUGAGUGAUGAAGGCUUUCGGGUCGUAAAACUCUGUUGUUAGGGAAGAACAAGUGCUAGUUGAAUAAGCUGGUACCUUGACGGUACCUAACCAGAAAGCCACGGCUAACUACGUGCCAGCCGCCGCAGUAA
rnacentral:rRNA from 1 species